UACGUAGGUGGCAAGCGUUGUCCGGAUUUACUGGGCGUAAAGAGCGCGCAGGCGGUCGUAUAAGUCGAAUGUGAAAGCCCCCGGCUCAACUGGGGAGGGUCACGCGAUACUGAUCGACUGGAAGGCAGGAGAGGGUAGUGGAAUUCCCGGUGUAGUGGUGAAAUGCGUAGAUAUCGGGAGGAACACCAGUGGCGAAGGCGACUACCUGGCCUGUUCUUGACGCUGAGGCGCGAAAGCUAGGGGAGCAAACGGG
rnacentral:rRNA from 1 species